AUUAUUAUUAUUUAAUUGGGAAAAUGGUCAAAUACACCCCCGAAUUUUAUAUGAGAAGUCAAUUAGGCUCUCGAACUUUUGAAAGUUACAAAUAAGAACAUAAGCAUGUUAAUUU